rnacentral:misc_RNA from 1 species
GAUGAAGAACGUAGCGAAAUGCGAUAAGUAAUGUGAAUUGCAGAAUUCAGUGAAUCAUCGAAUCUUUGAACGCACAUUGCGCCCGCCAGUAUUCUGGCGGGCAUGCCUGUCUGAGCGUCAUUUCAACCCUCAUGCCCCUAGGGCGUGGUGUUGGGGAUCGGCCAAAGCCCGCGAGGGACGGCCGGCCCCUAAAUCUAGUGGCGGACCCGUCGUGGCCUCCUCUGUGAAGUAGUGAUAUUCCGCAUCGGAGAGCGAUGAGCCCCUGCCGUUAAACCCCCAACUUUCCAAGGUUGACCUCAGAUCAGGUAGGAAUACCCGCUGAACUUAAGCAUAUCAAUAAGCGGAGGA